UACGUAGGCAGCGAGCGUUGUUCGGAGUUACUGGGCGUAAAGGGUGUGUAGGCGGUUUUCUAGGUCUGCUGUGAAAACUCGAGGCUCAACCUCGAGACGUCGGCGGAAACCAUCUGGCUAGAGUCCGGAAGAGGAGAGUGGAAUUCCUGGUGUAGCGGUGAAAUGCGCAGAUAUCAGGAAGAACACCCGUGGCGAAGGCGGCUCUCUGGGACGGUACUGACGCUGAGACGCGAAAGCGUGGGGAGCGAACAGG
rnacentral:rRNA from 1 species